rnacentral:rRNA from 2 species
GGUUAAGCGACUAAGCGUACACGGUGGAUGCCCUGGCAGUCAGAGGCGAUGAAGGACGUGCUAAUCUGCGAUAAGCGUCGGUAAGGUGAUAUGAACCGUUAUAACCGGCGAUUUCCGAAUGGGGAAACCCAGUGUGAUUCGUCACACUAUCAUUAACUGAAUCCAUAGGUUAAUGAGGCGAACCGGGGGAACUGAAACAUCUAAGUACCCCGAGGAAAAGAAAUCAACCGAGAUUCCCCCAGUAGCGGCGAGCGAACGGGGAGCAGCCCAGAGCCUGAAUCAGUGUGUGUGUUAGUGGAAGCGUCUGGAAAGGCGCGCGAUACAGGGUGACAGCCCCGUACACAAAAAUGCACAUGCUGUGAGCUCGAUGAGUAGGGCGGGACACGUGGUAUCCUGUCUGAAUAUGGGGGGACCAUCCUCCAAGGCUAAAUACUCCUGACUGACCGAUAGUGAACCAGUACCGUGAGGGAAAGGCGAAAAGAACCCCGGCGAGGGGAGUGAAAAAGAACCUGAAACCGUGUACGUACAAGCAGUGGGAGCACAGAGCAAUCUGUGUGACUGCGUACCUUUUGUAUAAUGGGUCAGCGACUUAUAUUCUGUAGCAAGGUUAACCGAAUAGGGGAGCCGAAGGGAAACCGAGUCUUAACUGGGCGUUAAGUUGCAGGGUAUAGACCCGAAACCCGGUGAUCUAGCCAUGGGCAGGUUGAAGGUUGGGUAACACUAACUGGAGGACCGAACCGACUAAUGUUGAAAAAUUAGCGGAUGACUUGUGGCUGGGGGUGAAAGGCCAAUCAAACCGGGAGAUAGCUGGUUCUCCCCGAAAGCUAUUUAGGUAGCGCCUCGUGAAUUCAUCUCCGGGGGUAGAGCACUGUUUCGGCAAGGGGGUCAUCCCGACUUACCAACCCGAUGCAAACUGCGAAUACCGGAGAAUGUUAUCACGGGAGACACACGGCGGGUGCUAACGUCCGUCGUGAAGAGGGAAACAACCCAGACCGCCAGCUAAGGUCCCAAAGUCAUGGUUAAGUGGGAAACGAUGUGGGAAGGCCCAGACAGCCAGGAUGUUGGCUUAGAAGCAGCCAUCAUUUAAAGAAAGCGUAAUAGCUCACUGGUCGAGUCGGCCUGCGCGGAAGAUGUAACGGGGCUAAACCAUGCACCGAAGCUGCGGCAGCGACGCUUAUGCGUUGUUGGGUAGGGGAGCGUUCUGUAAGCCUGUGAAGGUGUACUGUGAGGUAUGCUGGAGGUAUCAGAAGUGCGAAUGCUGACAUAAGUAACGAUAAAGCGGGUGAAAAGCCCGCUCGCCGGAAGACCAAGGGUUCCUGUCCAACGUUAAUCGGGGCAGGGUGAGUCGACCCCUAAGGCGAGGCCGAAAGGCGUAGUCGAUGGGAAACAGGUUAAUAUUCCUGUACUUGGUGUUACUGCGAAGGGGGGACGGAGAAGGCUAUGUUGGCCGGGCGACGGUUGUCCCGGUUUAAGCGUGUAGGCUGGUUUUCCAGGCAAAUCCGGAAAAUCAAGGCUGAGGCGUGAUGACGAGGCACUACGGUGCUGAAGCAACAAAUGCCCUGCUUCCAGGAAAAGCCUCUAAGCAUCAGGUAACAUCAAAUCGUACCCCAAACCGACACAGGUGGUCAGGUAGAGAAUACCAAGGCGCUUGAGAGAACUCGGGUGAAGGAACUAGGCAAAAUGGUGCCGUAACUUCGGGAGAAGGCACGCUGAUAUGUAGGUGAAGUCCCUCGCGGAUGGAGCUGAAAUCAGUCGAAGAUACCAGCUGGCUGCAACUGUUUAUUAAAAACACAGCACUGUGCAAACACGAAAGUGGACGUAUACGGUGUGACGCCUGCCCGGUGCCGGAAGGUUAAUUGAUGGGGUCAGCGCAAGCGAAGCUCUUGAUCGAAGCCCCGGUAAACGGCGGCCGUAACUAUAACGGUCCUAAGGUAGCGAAAUUCCUUGUCGGGUAAGUUCCGACCUGCACGAAUGGCGUAAUGAUGGCCAGGCUGUCUCCACCCGAGACUCAGUGAAAUUGAACUCGCUGUGAAGAUGCAGUGUACCCGCGGCAAGACGGAAAGACCCCGUGAACCUUUACUAUAGCUUGACACUGAACAUUGAGCCUUGAUGUGUAGGAUAGGUGGGAGGCUUUGAAGUGUGGACGCCAGUCUGCAUGGAGCCGACCUUGAAAUACCACCCUUUAAUGUUUGAUGUUCUAACGUGGACCCGUAAUCCGGGUUGCGGACAGUGUCUGGUGGGUAGUUUGACUGGGGCGGUCUCCUCCUAAAGAGUAACGGAGGAGCACGAAGGUUGGCUAAUCCUGGUCGGACAUCAGGAGGUUAGUGCAAUGGCAUAAGCCAGCUUGACUGCGAGCGUGACGGCGCGAGCAGGUGCGAAAGCAGGUCAUAGUGAUCCGGUGGUUCUGAAUGGAAGGGCCAUCGCUCAACGGAUAAAAGGUACUCCGGGGAUAACAGGCUGAUACCGCCCAAGAGUUCAUAUCGACGGCGGUGUUUGGCACCUCGAUGUCGGCUCAUCACAUCCUGGGGCUGAAGUAGGUCCCAAGGGUAUGGCUGUUCGCCAUUUAAAGUGGUACGCGAGCUGGGUUUAGAACGUCGUGAGACAGUUCGGUCCCUAUCUGCCGUGGGCGCUGGAGAACUGAGGGGGGCUGCUCCUAGUACGAGAGGACCGGAGUGGACGCAUCACUGGUGUUCGGGUUGUCAUGCCAAUGGCACUGCCCGGUAGCUAAAUGCGGAAGAGAUAAGUGCUGAAAGCAUCUAAGCACGAAACUUGCCCCGAGAUGAGUUCUCCCUGACUCCUUGAGAGUCCUGAAGGAACGUUGAAGACGACGACGUUGAUAGGCCGGGUGUGUAAGCGCAGCGAUGCGUUGAGCUAACCGGUACUAAUGAACCGUGAGGCUUAACCUU